UGCCAGUGUCGUAGGAUGAAUCGCACCUUGGGGAAAGAAAUUUGCAAGUAAUGCGACGGUGUUACCAUGACCGGUGGCAAAGAACGUAGUCACAGUCAGCCGGCCGGCACCCGGGACACGAGUUUGAACCUGAAGAAUACGUGAGAUGAGAGGAUGGAAAGAUCUGUCUUACCUGCAAAUCAAACAUGCUAAACGCGCAGACGUAGAAUGGAAGUCCCACAAAUGCUAAGGUAGGAUUCUCUAUGGACACCAGAUGUUUCCAGAGUGGCGUGACCAUGUUGGAGUCUACUCGAACUCCACAGGAUUUAGCGAGGAAAGGAAAGCUAUAUUUAGAACUCUACCCGUGCAAUGGAAGACGACAUCGACCUGCUCCUUUGUGCCGUCUGCAAAAACUGCUUCGCGUUCCGUCAAUUCCACCACAUCGGCUUUCUAAAAAGAAACCGUCGCAAGUCUAAGAAGUAAUCUCCGCGUGAUUUUACUAUUUUCUUUCUGAGCUCGUGCUUCUAUCUACCUGCACAACGUUCUCAGGGAACACUAAUAUGCGAGCGACUCGUAUAAUGUCAUAUGUACCGGAAGGUCCUGCCCCCAGGACAACGACAUUCUUGCCGUUAAAAAUCUCGGGAACUCUGUAAUCGUGACUGUGAAUCUGCUCGCCGACGAAGAGGUUCUGGCCGGAUAUCUUCGGCAUAUUGGGCUCGAAAUAAUGACCGUUGCACACCAUGACCACGUCGAACGACUCGGUCAUGAGUACGUCCCUCUGCAGAUCCUUGACCUUGACCGACCACUUCCGGUCCCCCACGGCCGGCUCAAUUAGCUCUACAUGAUGCAGCAGCUGCAAUUUUUAUACACUCACACGAAUGUAAGGACGUAGUGUGAAAUGAUCACAGUACGCGUUCAGGAAAUCCAAUAUCUCCAUGCGCGACAAGUAACUUUGAGGUCUUUCUGAUAUUGAAUAAUCUGGAUAGCCCAUCACUUCCU
rnacentral:lncRNA from 1 species